UCCCUGGUGGUCCAGUGGUUAAGACUCUGCCCUCCUAAUGCAGGCGGCCCAGGUUUGAUCCCUGAUCAGGGAA
rfam:TPA: Bos taurus chromosome 19, whole genome shotgun sequence.